UGGGGAAUCUUAGACAAUGGGGGCAACCCUGAUCUAGCCAUGCCGCGUGAGUGAUGAAGGCCUUAGGGUUGUAAAGCUCUUUCAGCUGGGAAGAUAAUGACGGUACCAGCAGAAGAAGCCCCGGCUAACUCCGUGCCAGCAGCCGCGGUAAUACGGAGGGGGCUAGCGUUGUUCGGAAUUACUGGGCGUAAAGCGCACGUAGGCGGACCGGAAAGUCAGAGGUGAAAUCCCAGGGCUCAACCUUGGAACUGCCUUUGAAACUAUCGGUCUGGAGUUCGAGAGAGGUGAGUGGAAUUCCGAGUGUAGAGGUGAAAUUCGUAGAUAUUCGGAGGAACACCAGUGGCGAAGGCGGCUCACUGGCUCGAUACUGACGCUGAGGUGCGAAAGCGUGGGGAGCAAACAGG
rnacentral:rRNA from 1 species